rnacentral:rRNA from 1 species
GACGAACGCUGGCGGCGUGCUUAACACAUGCAAGUCGAACGGAACUGCCCUGCUUAUGUGGGGUGCUCUGGUGGACACCGGGUGAGUAACCCGUGAGUACCCUGUCCUUGACUUUGGGAUAACUUCAGGCAACUGGGGCUAAUACCGGAUAGGAGCACCUGCUGCUUGGUGGGGGUUGGAAAGUUUCGGUGGUUGGGGAUGGACUCGCGGCUUAUCAGCUUGUUGGUGGGGUAGUGUCUUACCAAGGCUUUGACGCGUAGCCGGGCUGAGAUGGUGACCGGCCACGUUGGGUCUGAGAUACGGCCCAGACUCCUACGGUACGCAGCGGAGGGGAAUAUAGCAUUGUGGGCGGAAGCCUGAUGCAACGACGCCGCGUGCGGGAUAACGGCCUUCUGGUUGGAUACCGCAUUUGUCUGUGACGAAACGUGAGUGACGGUAAUGGGUAAAGAAGCACCGGCUAACUACGUG